UCGGCGGAGGGGUCGCUGCCGGCGAUGCGGGCGACGACGUUGCCCCGGCCGGGGGUGCGCUCCAGGAUCACCGGGUCGAGUCCGGCUCCGGCGAGCC
rnacentral:tRNA from 1 species